AUGGUGACCUUUCGUUUGAUUCAAGAGUCACUGCCAUCAAAUCACUCUCAGCCAUCGCCCACACUCCCGCAGGGACACUCGAUACUGUUUUCUGCAGGUAUCGGAAAUGUUUACAAGAUUCAUUCGUUCAGAACAAUAAAUGUUAUUGCAUUUAAUAAUUCUAUUAUAGUGGAGUGGAAAGUACUUAAGCUCCGGUUCCUGCCCUCCAGGUGGCUUGGGGGAGAGAAGCAAGUCUCUGUAAGAGACAGAUAGCAGUGAAUGCUCACGUGCUAACAGGAGGUGCCGAAGGAAAGUGAAAAUUACGUUGCACUGAGUGUGUGCGUCUUCCUCAGAGGUUUUAUUCCAUGGAUGGCAAGGUUUUUCUUUAAAUUCAGGAAAUGUCUCUCUCCAUAAAAUGCCCAUUUACUUCGCAUAGUCACUUAGAAUAUAGAGGAUCUUAACCUGCUUACAAUAAGAAAUUGAGGCCUAGGAGAUUGAUUUUUUCUUUUUCUUUUUUUUUUUUAAGAUUUUAUUUAUUUUUUUUUGUGAGGGAGAGAGAAGAGCAACAGAGUGAGCACAAGUAGGGGGAAGGAGCAAAGGGAGCAAAUUCCCUGCUGAGCAUGGAGCCCAAUGCUAGACUGGAUCCCAGGACCCUGGGAUCAUGACCUGAGCCAAAGUCAGACACUUACGACUGAGCCGCCCAGGCGCCCGAUUUUUUUCAAGACCUCGGACUGGAACUCAAGGUUUUUUUAAAAAAGAUUUUAUUUAUUUAUUUGAGCGAGAGAGCAGAAGUGGGGGGGAGCGGCAAAGGGGGAGGGUGAAACAGCCUGCCCACUGAGCAGGGAGCCCGAUGCGGGGCUGGACUUGGGGCUCGAUCCCAGAACCCUGAGAUCAUGACCUAAGCUGAGGGCAGAUGGUUAACCAGCUGAGCCACCCAGAAGCCUUAGAACUCAUGAUUUUAAAAAAUGCCUAAUCCAUAGCAAGAUGUGGGAAGUGGAAACCAGUGCUUUUAAAUGUCUUUUUCAUGAUGAAAUGUAAAUAAUUCAGUAGACAGCCAGUUGAGAGGAUGAAGAAAUAUUUUCCUAACUACGGCUUUCGAUUUUCCUAUCUGCUAUUUACUGCAGAUAGGUAACUACGGCUGGGCACUCAGAAAUCCCCCUUACUGCUGACACUACUGUCUCAAAGGAGUGGAGGUGAGGAGUUGGUAGGGAUUCAUGGGACCACCUAGCCCCUCCCCUGGCAAGAUGACUAGAUGGGAGAAGAGAAAGGCUGAAAAACUCACUUGCCCGGAAAUAGUUUGCUGGAGGAUUUAACUUAGUACGUGACCAGUGAAAGGUAGACAAAUGAACACAUGAAUGCAGGUGUUCCACCUGAGUCCAAGAUCCCCCCAAAUUUGGGCCAAGGUAACAAUCUCUAGAUUCAGAACAAAAAACAGUCGACAAUUUUCAUAAAAAUACCAAGUCAUCUGCAGCAAAGCAUGUCCGGUAAAUGAGCAUUUAAUAGAUGAUGACUGUGAACCGGACCUGAUAACUCGUCUUUCUUCCAUUGUCCAGUACAGACAGGAAGGCUGCUUUUAUUUGAAAUAAAAAUACUCAUUAACAACUGCAGUGAAACCUUCAAUAUAGAAUCCCAAGAACGUUUUCAUUUCUCUAUUUCUACAAAGUAAGGAAAAGUGCUCAGGCGUUAUCUCCCCACUAAUCAAUAGAGGGGCCGGUAAACUGAAGCCUGCAGAAGUGAAGGGCCUUGUCUUUAUGAUGUCAAGAGCAGAGGGGGAGGCGAAUCCAGAUCUAAUAAAACCUAAGUCAGUUUUCAGUUCAUUCAGUUGCUUCAUGCUAUGAAAAUAAGGCACACCUAUUGUCGUUUUCUUUGUUUAAUCUUUGCUUGUAGAUUGCAGAGGACAAGACUGAUGACUGUUAACUGUUGCCCAGAUGUUUCUAAACAGGAAGUUCUGGCUGUCCAGCCUGUCGAGCAGGUGUCUUUUAUGGUGGUGAGGAUACUGUUGCAGUUCAGACUGGGACACACGAGCAGGUGGUUUCCAGAAGGAGCCAAGCCUACUUAGAUUGGGUGAUCACAGAGUCUCAGAGCUGAAAGCAAGCUUAGAAACCUUUAUCCAGCCCUAGACAAACAGCUUGAGGGAUGUCAAAAGACCAGGCCCAGGUCAACUCUUGGCAGAGCCCUGAUGAGAAACGAGGGAUGCAUAAUUUUAAAAUGGUUUUAUGUGUCAAUGUAAGAGUUAUAUAACAAGGUAUGAAUUACAUAACAUUUUGAGCCAAAUUAGAAUAUUAAUUCCAGUUUGUUACGAUAAAAUGAAGGGAAAAGAAAUCAACUUCUGUUAAAUAAGGAGUUUGGAUGAUCAAAGAAGAAAGAGGUUUAACAAGAAAGCCAAGGGUGGCUCAGUCGGUUAAGUGUCAGCCUUUGGCUUCGGUCAUGAUCCCAGCGUCCUGGGAUGGAGCCCCAUGUCCAGCUCCAGCGGGGAGCCUGCUUCUCCCUCUCCCUCUGCCUGCUGCUCCCCCUGCUUGUGCUCUCUCUCUGUGAAGUAAAUGAAAUCUUAAAGAAAAAAAAAAUCAGGAAAGCCAGUAAUCAUCAAAAUAUUGAGAACUUCCUACUGUAAUAAACACCUUCUAUGUUCAGAUGGAAACAUUACUUUGAGUUUGGGCUAAGAAAACAGACGUGUUAGAAGGAAGUGAGAUGUUAAGCAGUUCAGGAUGGCAGCCUAGCUGCUGACUGAUGAACAACCCCCUGUGCUGUUUACCUUCUUCUUCUCUAUCUUGGAGACCCUAACCCUGAGAAAAAUGAAUUUCUCUAUGUUGCUGCUUAAGACCCUUGAAGUUUGAUUUGAAUUCAUUUCUUUUUUUUUUUUUUUUUAAGAUUUUAUUUAUUUAUUUGACAGAGAGCCAGCCAGUGAGAGAGGGAACACAGCAGGGGAGUGGGAGAGGAAGAAGCAGGCUCCUAGCGGAGGAGCCCGAUGUGGGGCUCGAUCCCAGAACGCCGGGAUCACGCCCUGAGCCAAAGGCAGACGCUUAACGACUGCACUGCCCGGGUGCCCCUGAAUUCAUUUCUAA
rnacentral:lncRNA from 1 species